UACGUAGGGUCCGAGCGUUGUCCGGAAUUAUUGGGCGUAAAGAGCUCGCAGGCGGUGUGUCGCGUCGGCCGUGAAAACCUGCAGCUUAACGGUGGGCUUGCGGUCGAUACGGGCAUCACUGGAGUUCGGCAGGGGAGACUGGAAUUCCUGGUGUAGCGGUGAAAUGCGCAGAUAUCUGGAGGAAUACCGGUGGCGAAAGCGGCAUCCUGGACCGACAUUGACGCUGAGGAGCGAAAGCUAGGGGAGCAAACGGG
rnacentral:rRNA from 1 species